AACAUAGAAGUAAAAUUUUACAUUUAGUUUCGGCCUAAAUAUUAAGGGGUUCACCUUCAUGUUU